ACCUUUUUUCCUCCUUUUUUAAUCUUUCACAAUUGUUUAAACCCUGAUGCAUCGACGCCGCGUGAGUGAAGAAGUAAUUCGUUAUGUAAAGCUCUAUCAGCAGGGAAGAAAAUGACGGUACCUGAGUAAGAAGCCCCGGCUAACUACGUGCCAGCAGCCGCGGUAAUACGUAGGGGGCAAGCGUUAUCCGGAUUUACUGGGUGUAAAGGGAGCGUAGACGGCAGUGCAAGUCUGGAGUGAAAGGCGGGGGCUCAACCCCCGGACUGCUCUGGAAACUGUACGGCUGGAGUGCAGGAGAGGUAAGUGGAAUUCCUAGUGUAGCGGUGAAAUGCGUAGAUAUUAGGAGGAACACCAGUGGCGAAGGCGGCUUACUGGACUGUAACUAACGUUGAGGCUCGAAAGCGUGGGGAGCAAACAGGAUUAGAUACCCUAGUAGUC
rnacentral:rRNA from 1 species